UACGUAGGGGGCAAGCGUUGUCCGGAAUCAUUGGGCGUAAAGAGCGUGUAGGCGGCCAGAAAAGUCCGCUGUGAAAACUCGAGGCUCAACUUCGAGCUGUCGGUGGAAACUUUCUGGCUAGAGUCCGGAAGAGGAGAAUGGAAUUCCUGGUGUAGCGGUGGAAUGCGCAGAUAUCAGGAGGAACACCGGUGGCGAAGGCGGGUCUCUGGGCAGUAACUGACGCUGAGGAGCGAAAGCGUGGGGAGCGAACAGG
rnacentral:rRNA from 1 species